AGAGAAUAAAUUAGUAAAUACUUUAUGAAGAGGAAUUUCGUAUCUUGGAGAGAUAGAUGGAAAAGGACUACACUAUGUGCUUACAUCACGUGGUACAACAAUUGUGGAAUACAACAUUUCCACUUUAAAGAUUCUAAUGCUAAGUACUUUGAUACUAGCCUAUUGGAGCAACUAAAUCAGGAAAAUGGAAUGAAAUCCUUGUUCUCUUCCCCAUCCUUCUGGGAAAAUGCUCCUCAUAAGACUCCAAAUUUUUGAUAGCCUUGGACACCAAGGAAGCUCCUGCACUUGACAUGAAAAUGGGGUUAGAAAGAGGACACAGAAGUAAAGGGGAAGGAGACACAAGUUCAAAAGAGAAAGAGUAGAGUUCCCAUUUAUCGAGGCUCAAAGAGCCGGCCAAGAGAGGGAAUCUAUUUCCCCAAGUAGGUAACAACAUUUGGAUUAACACAUAGUAGAGAGAGAGCUGGCAGCCCCAAAAUAGGAGGCUUUGUCCCCAAGUUUCAGUCACAAACAGCCAAGAACUGAGGCUAUAUAAGCAGCCCCCUCACCACCUCCUUCCACCACUUUUUCGGCACCCAAGUUUCACAUUGCAUAAAGAGAGCAGCAAGGAGGAGGAGCAAGGAGUGAGGGCGGGCAAGAAUCGACACAAGCAGUAGCCAUAACCGAGAGAGUCAGGAAAAGGACUUAGCUUGUGUAGGAGAAACGCCGAGAAGGAGCGGCUCGUUGCUGAAUCCGAGGAAGAGCCGUGAGGGCAGGGGCGUGGUUAAACGGCGGCGCGCCUUGAGUCUCGCCCGAACAGCACCAACAGAAGAAGCCUUGCGAAGCAGCGACCGCCUCCGCUGGACUCCUGCAGCGGUGCUACGAACACCGGAGAAGAGCGGCGUGUGAGAAAGCCGUGGAAGAAGGGGCGGGAGUCGCCGGGCGCGCCUGCCGAUCUGGAAAGGAAAAAAGGCCACUCCGAGCGUGAAUUCGCCGGGAGGGAGAGAGACAGAAGAGAGGGAACGAUGGGUGCAGUAUAUAAUGGAGGUGGAUCUGCUGUGGUGGGAACACAGCAGGGGCUGCUGUGGAGCAAUACGCCGUUGUUUUGAUUCAAUUACUUAAGCUUUUUCUUUGCAAAUUGCAAUAAGUCUACUUGAUGGCAUGCGGUAGUAUUACUGAUAUAUUUGAUCAAUGAUUUGGUCAUUUAACUAAUAUUUGCACUAAUCUAUUAUCAGCACCUCCAUACAGCUACUAAUGAAAUCAGACUAUUUAAUAA